AGUGAACGCUGGCGGUAGGCCUAACACAUGCAAGUCGAACGGCAGCACAGUAAGAGCUUGCUCUUACGGGUGGCGAGUGGCGGACGGGUGAGGAAUACAUCGGAAUCUACUUUUUCGUGGGGGAUAACGUAGGGAAACUUACUCUAAUACCGCAUACGACCUACGGGUGAAAGCAGGGGAUCUUCGGACCUUGCGCGAUUGAAUGAGCCGAUGUCGGAUUAGCUAGUUGGCGGGGUAAAGGCCCACCAAGGCGACGAUCCGUAGCUGGUCUGAGAGGAUAAUCGGCCACACUGGAGCGGAGACACGGUCCAGACUCCUACGGGAGGGAGCAGUGGGGAAUAUUGGACAAUGGGCGCAAGCCUGAUCCAGCCAUCCCGCGUGGGUGAAGAAGGCGUUCGGGUUGUAAAGCCCUUUUGUUGGGAAAGAAAAGCAGCAGGUUAAUACCCAGCUGUUCUGACGGUACCCGAAGAAUAAGCACCGGCUAACUUCGUG
rnacentral:rRNA from 1 species